rnacentral:rRNA from 1 species
GAUGAACGCUGGCGGCGUGCCUAAUACAUGCAAGUCGAGCGAACAGACGAGGAGCUUGCUCCUCUGACGUUAGCGGCGGACGGGUGAGUAACACGUGGAUAACCUACCUAUAAGACUGGGAUAACUUCGGGAAACCGGAGCUAAUACCGGAUAAUAUAUUGAACCGCAUGGUUCAAUAGUGAAAGACGGUUUUGCUGUCACUUAUAGCUGGAUCCACGCCGCAUUAGCUAGUUGGUAAGGUAACGGCUUACCAAGGCAACGAUGCGUAGCCGACCUGAGAGGGUGAUCGGCCACACUGGAACUGAGACACGGUCCAGACUCCUACGGGAGGCAGCAGUAGGGAAUCUUCCGCAAUGGGCGAAAGCCUGACGGAGCAACGCCGCGUGAGUGAUGAAGGUCUUCGGAUCGUAAAACUCUGUUAUUAGGGAAGAACAAAUGUGUAAGUAACUAUGCACGUCUUGACGGUACCUAAUCAGAAAGCCACGGCUAACUACGUG